GGCCGGGUAGCAAAGUGGUAAUGCAGAGGACUGCAAAUCCUCCAUCGGCAGUUCGAUUCUGCCUCCGGCCUCCA
rnacentral:tRNA from 1 species